UAUUCCUUUAAUGCAGUGUUUUUAUCCUCAUGCUGACAGAUAUAGGUGGAGCUUGUGGAGAUCUGAAAAAGAGCACUAAACCUUUGCUUUGUACAGUGCAAACAUGACCAUCCUUUGUGUUCUGCUUCUGCUACUGAUAAUUAAAGAGGAGACAUUUGCACAGUCAAUAUCACCGCUGGAAAACCAGACACUUACAUCUGAGGGAGAAAAAGUCUCUCUAUCCUGUAAAUAUGAUGGAGGUGUAAAUAACCUGCACUGGUAUCGACAAUAUCCAGGAUCUAAACCGGAGUUCCUCGCAUAUAUUUAUCCUCAUGGAACAACAAGUGAGCCUCUUCCUGAUCGUAUCAAACCUCAAGUUGAUAAAAACAACAAUCUUGUGAGCCUGGAGAUCUCCUCUGUUAAAGUGACAGACUCUGCUCUGUAUUACUGUGCCCUGACGCCCACAGUGACAGGAAACACAUCAACACUGUACAAAAACCUCCUGAACAAUAAAACUCAAAAACUAAGUACUGUGUAUGGAAAUGAAAUCAAACCAACUAAAACUGAGGAGUUUGCUGUUGAGGGUUCAAACGCAAAGAAGUCUGAUGUAGAUCCUAGAUUUACAGAGAAUGGAGAAACUCAGUAUUUAAUGUGGAAAGAAGCUCGGGCAUGGAGUGAUAGAGGGACUCCAGCUGAUCCUCGCUUUCAGUCGACUACAUCAGAAACAUCCACUGAACUCAUUAUUACUGGUGUAACUCUCUCAGAUUCAGCUCUCUAUUAUUGUGCUCUAAGAGUUGGAGCCCAGUGA